UAGGGAAUCUUCCACAAUGGACGCAAGUCUGAUGGAGCAACGCCGCGUGAGUGAAGAAGGUCUUCGGAUCGUAAAACUCUGUUGUUAGAGAAGAACACGAGUGAGAGUAACUGUUCAAUGUGUGACGGUAUCUAACCAGCAAGUCACGGCUAACUACGUGCCAG
rnacentral:rRNA from 1 species